rnacentral:rRNA from 1 species
CAGAGAUUAGCUUGCUUAAUUUGUCAGCUAAGUGGCGCACGGGUGAGUAAUGUAUAGGUAAUAUGCCUCUUACUAAGGGAUAACAAAUGGAAACGUUUGCUAAUACCUUAUACUCCUUAUUAACUAAAGUUGGUAAGGGAAAGAUUUAUUGGUAAGAGAUUGGCCUGUAUUGUAUCAGUUAGUUGGUGGGGUAAUGGCCUACCAAGACUAUGACGCAUAACUGGUUUGAGAGGAUGAUCAGUCACACUGGAACUGAGACACGGUCCAGACUCCUACGGGAGGCAGCAGUGGGGAAUAUUGCACAAUGGACGAAAGUCUGAUGCAGCAACGCCGCGUGGAGGAUGACACAUUUCGGUGCGUAAACUCCUUUUAUAUAAGAAGAUAAUGACGGUAUUAUAUGAAUAAGCACCGGCUAACUCCGUGCCAGCAGCCGCGGUAAUACGGGGGGUGCAAGCGUUACUCGGAAUCACUGGGCGUAAAGAGCAUGUAGGCGGAUUGAUAAGUUUGAAGUGAAAUCCUAUAGCUUAACUAUAGAACUGCUUUGAAAACUGUUAGUCUAGAAUGUGGGAGAGGUAGAUGGAAUUUCUGGUGUAGGG